rnacentral:rRNA from 1 species
UACAGAGGUGGCAAGCGUUGUUCGGAAUUACUGGGCGUAAAGGGCGCGUAGGCGGUUCGUUAAGUCCUGUGUGAAAUCCCCCGGCUCAACUGGGGAACUGCACAGGAAACUAGCGGGCUUGAGUUCGGGAGAGGGAUGCGGAAUUCCAGGUGUAGCGGUGAAAUGCGUAGAUAUCUGGAGGAACACCGGUGGCGAAGGCGGCAUCCUGGACCGACACUGACGCUGAGGAGCGAAAGCCAGGGGAGCAAACGGG